rnacentral:rRNA from 1 species
AGAGUUUGAUCAUGGCUCAGGAUGAACGCUGGCGGCGUGCUUAACACAUGCAAGUCGAACGAACCUUCGGGUUAGUGGCGGACGGGUGAGUAACGCGUGAGAAUCUGCCCUCAGGAGGGGGACAACAGCUGGAAACGGCUGCUAAUACCCCAUAUGCCGCGAGGUGAAAUGAAUUUCGCCUGAGGAUGAGCUCGCGUCUGAUUAGCUAGUUGGUGUAGGUAAUGGCUCACCAAGGCAUCGAUCAGUAGCUGGUCUGAGAGGAUGAUCAGCCACACUGGGACUGAGACACGGCCCAGACUCCUACGGGAGGCAGCAGUGGGGAAUUUUCCGCAAUGGGCGAAAGCCUGACGGAGCAACGCCGCGUGAGGGAUGAAGGCCUCUGGGCUGUAAACCUCUUUUAUCAAGGAAGAAGAUCUGACGGUACUUGAUGAAUAAGCCACGGCUAAUUCCGUGCCAGCAGCCGCGGUAAUACGGGAGUGGCAAGCGUUAUCCGGAAUUAUUGGGCGUAAAGCGUCCGCAGGCGGCCCUUCAAGUCUGCUGUUAAAAAGUGGAGCUUAACUCCAUCAUGGCAGUGGAAACUGUUGGGCUUGAGUGUGGUAGGGGCAGAGGGAAUUCCCGGU